rnacentral:rRNA from 2 species
UUAAGCGACUAAGCGUACACGGUGGAUGCCCUGGCAGUCAGAGGCGAUGAAGGACGUGCUAAUCUGCGAAAAGCGUCGGUAAGGUGAUAUGAACCGUUAUAGCCGGCGAUGUCCGAAUGGGGAAACCCAGUGCAAUUCGUUGCACUAUCGUUAACUGAAUACAUAGGUUAACGAGGCGAACCGGGGGAACUGAAACAUCUAAGUACCCCGAGGAAAAGAAAUCAACCGAGAUUCCCCCAGUAGCGGCGAGCGAACGGGGAGCAGCCCGGAGUCUGAAUCAGCUUGUGUGUUAGUGGAAGCGUCUGGAAAGUCGCAGGGUACAGGGUGAUACUCCCGUACACUAAAAUGCACAGGUUGUGAACUCGAAGAGUAGGGCGGGACACGUGGUAUCCUGUCUGAAUAUGGGGGGACCAUCCUCCAAGGCUAAAUACUCCUGACUGACCGAUAGUGAACCAGUACCGUGAGGGAAAGGCGAAAAGAACCCCGGCGAGGGGAGUGAAAAAGAACCUGAAACCGUGUACGUACAAGCAGUAGGAGCCCACUUGUUGGGUGACUGCGUACCUUUUGUAUAAUGGGUCAGCGACUUAUAUUCUGUAGCAAGGUUAACCGUAUAGGGGAGCCGCAGGGAAACCGAGUCUUAACUGGGCGUUAAGUUGCAGGGUAUAGACCCGAAACCCGGUGAUCUAGCCAUGGGCAGGUUGAAGGUUGGGUAACACUAACUGGAGGACCGAACCGACUAAUGUUGAAAAAUUAGCGGAUGACUUGUGGCUGGGGGUGAAAGGCCAAUCAAACCGGGAGAUAGCUGGUUCUCCCCGAAAGCUAUUUAGGUAGCGCCUCGUGAAUUCAUCUUCGGGGGUAGAGCACUGUUUCGGCUAGGGGGUCAUCCCGACUUACCAACCCGAUGCAAACUACGAAUACCGAAGAAUGUUAUCACGGGAGACACACGGCGGGUGCUAACGUCCGUCGUGAAGAGGGAAACAACCCAGACCGCCAGCUAAGGUCCCAAAGUCAUGGUUAAGUGGGAAACGAUGUGGGAAGGCCCAGACAGCCAGGAUGUUGGCUUAGAAGCAGCCAUCAUUUAAAGAAAGCGUAAUAGCUCACUGGUCGAGUCGGCCUGCGCGGAAGAUGUAACGGGGCUAAACCAUGCACCGAAGCUGCGGCAGCGACGCUUAUGCGUUGUUGGGUAGGGGAGCGUUCUGUAAGCCGUUGAAGGUGGCCUGUGAGGGUUGCUGGAGGUAUCAGAAGUGCGAAUGCUGACAUAAGUAACGAUAAUGCGGGUGAAAAACCCGCCACGCCGGAAGACCAAGGGUUCCUGUCCAACGUUAAUCGGGGCAGGGUGAGUCGACCCCUAAGGCGAGGCCGAAAGGCGUAGUCGAUGGGAAACAGGUUAAUAUUCCUGUACUCGGUGUUACUGCGAAGGGGGGACGGAGAAGGCUAUGUUGGCCGGGCGACGGUUGUCCCGGUUUAAGCAUGUAGGCGGAUGUUCCAGGUAAAUCCGGAACGUUAUUAACGCUGAGGUGUGAUGACGAGGCACUACGGUGCUGAAGUGACAAAUGCCCUGCUUCCAGGAAAAGCCUCUAAGCAUCAGGUAACAUCAAAUCGUACCCCAAACCGACACAGGUGGUCAGGUAGAGAAUACCAAGGCGCUUGAGAGAACUCGGGUGAAGGAACUAGGCAAAAUGGUGCCGUAACUUCGGGAGAAGGCACGCUGAUGGUAAGUGAAGUGACUUGCUCAUGGAGCUGAAAUCAGUCGAAGAUACCAGCUGGCUGCAACUGUUUAUUAAAAACACAGCACUGUGCAAACACGAAAGUGGACGUAUACGGUGUGACGCCUGCCCGGUGCCGGAAGGUUAAUUGAUGGGGUUAUCCGUAAGGAGAAGCUCUUGAUCGAAGCCCCGGUAAACGGCGGCCGUAACUAUAACGGUCCUAAGGUAGCGAAAUUCCUUGUCGGGUAAGUUCCGACCUGCACGAAUGGCGUAAUGAUGGCCAGGCUGUCUCCACCCGAGACUCAGUGAAAUUGAACUCGCUGUGAAGAUGCAGUGUACCCGCGGCAAGACGGAAAGACCCCGUGAACCUUUACUAUAGCUUGACACUGAACACUGGUCCUUGAUGUGUAGGAUAGGUGGGAGGCUUUGAAGUGUGGACGCCAGUCUGCAUGGAGCCAUCCUUGAAAUACCACCCUUUAAUGGCUGGUGUUCUAACGUGGGCCCCUAAUCGGGGUUGCGGACAGUGUCUGGUGGGUAGUUUGACUGGGGCGGUCUCCUCCUAAAGAGUAACGGAGGAGCACGAAGGUCAGCUAAUCCUGGUCGGACAUCAGGAGGUUAGUGCAAUGGCAUAAGCUGGCUUGACUGCGAGCGUGACGGCGCGAGCAGGUGCGAAAGCAGGUCAUAGUGAUCCGGUGGUUCUGAAUGGAAGGGCCAUCGCUCAACGGAUAAAAGGUACUCCGGGGAUAACAGGCUGAUACCGCCCAAGAGUUCAUAUCGACGGCGGUGUUUGGCACCUCGAUGUCGGCUCAUCACAUCCUGGGGCUGAAGUAGGUCCCAAGGGUAUGGCUGUUCGCCAUUUAAAGUGGUACGCGAGCUGGGUUUAGAACGUCGUGAGACAGUUCGGUCCCUAUCUGCCGUGGGCGCUGGAGAAUUGAGGGGGGCUGCUCCUAGUACGAGAGGACCGGAGUGGACGCAUCACUGGUGUUCGGGUUGUCAUGCCAAUGGCAUUGCCCGGUAGCUAAAUGCGGAAGAGAUAAGUGCUGAAAGCAUCUAAGCACGAAACUUGCCCCGAGAUGAGUUCUCCCUGACUCCUUGAGAGUCCUGAAGGAACGUUGAAGACGACGACGUUGAUAGGCCGGGUGUGUAAGCGCAGCGAUGCGUUGAGCUAACCGGUACUAAUGAACCGUGAGGCUUAACCUU